UACGGGGGGUGCGAGCGUUGUCCGGAAUCACUGGGCGUAAAGGGCGCGUAGGUGGUUUGAUAAGGGUGUGGUGAAAGUCCGGGGCUCAACCCCGGAUCUGCCGUGCCGACUGUCAAUCUCGAGGGCUGUAGAGGCAGACGGAAUUCCGGGUGUAGCGGUGGAAUGCGUAGAGAUCCGGAGGAAGACCGGUGGCGAAGGCGGUCUGCUGGGCAGUUUCUGACACUGAUGCGCGACAGCGUGGGGAGCAAACAGG
rnacentral:rRNA from 1 species